GCGUGCGUUAACCAGAUCGUGCGUCGGACAGUUGCUGUGUACUCACACAGAAACGUAAAACGAAGACAUAUAUCAUAAAUUGUCACAGACAACUGGUCGUCGAGAGCGUCCCGGCUGAUCAUGUUUGCAUCAUUUGAUCUACAGCUGGAAUGAUUGCUGUAGCAGAAGGAAACGUGUGGGAAUGGAUUGAGACACUACUCAGUACUGUAUUGCAACAUUGGAACAACAUGUCAUUCAAUUUGAGGAAAUGCAGUUUAACAGUGACUAUUAAUUAUAAGCAUGUGUAAACUCAUUGUGGGGAAGGAAAACAAUGCGUGAGAGAAAUUGUGUUAAAUAGAAUUGUUAUUCUGAAUAAUUUUCAAAUGAUCUGUGUUAGACACCCCUGUCAAAUAGAGCAUGGAAAACCAUGGUAUUUCCAUGGAAUUUUCAUGGUACUUUUACCAUGGAAAGCAUGUGAGAGACAUUCCAUG